AACGUAGGAGACAAACGUUAUCCGGAGUUACUGGGCGUAAAGGGCGUGCAGGUGGUCUGUUAAGUCUGGCGUGAAAGCUCCUGGCUAAACCGGGAGAGGUCGUUGGAUACUGGCGGACUAGAGGACGGUAGAGGCGUGUGGAAUUCCGGGUGUAGCGGUGGAAUUCGUAGAUAUUAGGAAGAACACCAGUGGCGGAAGGCGGCUCACUGGUCCGGUACUGACGCUGAGGUGCGAAAGCGUGGGGAGCAAACAGGG
rnacentral:rRNA from 1 species